UACGUAGGCAGCGAGCGUUGUUCGGAGUUACUGGGCGUAAAGCGUGCGCAGGCGGUUUUGUAAGCCAGAUAUGAAAUCCCCGGGCUUAACCUGGGAAUGGCAUUUGGGACUGCAAGGCUGGAGUGCGGCAGAGGAGACUGGAAUUCCUGGUGUAGCAGUGAAAUGCGUAGAUAUCAGGAGGAAUACCGAUGGCGAAGGCAGGUCUCUGGGCUGACACUGACGCUCAUGCACGAAAGCGUGGGGAGCAAACAGG
rnacentral:rRNA from 1 species